CCGGGACGCACAGCCUCUGCGCUCACCCCGGCACCCGGCGCCCCGGCGGCAGGGCGGAGAGCUGCCGCAGAAAGUUGAUCUAACCCGGCGCGAACCCCGCUGGCCUGGCUCCCGACUCGCCUAGGCGCCGCCGCAGCGCUUUGCUCGCUCCCCCGGGGAGGGCCAGGCUGUUGUUACCGGAGACAAGGCCCAGCGUCCCCUUUCGAUCUGCUCAUCCCCCCAGCAGCUUGAACGCGUGCACCUCCCUGCACGGGACGAGCCCCACCACCCCGCCGCGGACCCCGAUCCGCCGCGCGGGCUGGGAGCCCUAGUCCCGGAGGCCCCAGUAGGGCGCGGCGCUUUGUCCCGGGUUUGAACGCGCCCGCUGCCUGCCGCGCGGUGUUGUGCUGUUUUCGCUGGGUAAAAGUGUCAGGAAUUCCUCUGCGGUUGGAUACACUGGAGAAGGGAGAAGCAGACAGAGGCAGUCCUGGCCCCACAUCUCUCCCCCUUCCCUCCCUUCCUCCACCAGGAAUGAUUGUGUUUUGUAGACAGCCCCAGAGUAAACCAAGCAGCCCUGGUCUGGAAGCAUUGCCCAGAGCUGGCAACUUGGCAGUUUGUUUCUUUCCUCUGUCGAGCAGGGCAAAUAGAGCCUGGGGCCGAGCCACCACUCCUCAAGCCAAGGAGGCGUCUCCCUGAAACACUGCAUCCAGCCUGGCCCUCCGAGGAUCUUUGCACACGCAGCAGGCAGAAGGACAGACAGUGGUCGGCUUCCGUCAUCUGAAAGCUGGGAAAUAGCAGUUCUAUAUUCAGUGUAUUUGAAUUCCACUGCGAUGAGGUUUGAGAAUUUUUCUUCAUCCACAGUUAGGUGCCUUCUCCAACUGUAGACUCUCAUCUGUCUUCAUUCUGGGGAACUUAAAGACAUGCCUUCAGGCCCUUCCCCGUCUCCUUCUGGAUCUGCACAUCAACUUCCAUCCUCCGAGCCUUUGAACUUCUCCAUCUUCCAUCUCCAGUCUCCUCGGAGAGGUCCUGGGUCACAUCUUCCUGCUCAUUGGUUCUUUGUAUCUUUUUUUUUUUUUGCUGCACCAUGCAGUUUGUGGGAUGUUAGUUCCCUGACCAGAUCGAACCUAGACCCUCAGCGAUAGAAGCACAGAAUAACUGUCUCAUCUGUUAGAAGCGGAAGACACAGACAUACACAUUUUCAAGACAAAGGAUCAUAUGUCAAAGUGACAGCUUGAUAUUUUACAUAAAGUUCACUGGACACACAGUUCUGGUAAGCACCUGCAAAGCAAGCAGUAAGUCUCCAUGACUCUCCAGAGCCAGGAAAACACACUGUUCUUUUAAGAAAUUGCAUUGCUGGCAUCAGAAGAAAGAAAAAAAUUGAUCUUCAUGGUUGGGCAGGCCUUCUUAUCUUUGAGGCACUCAAGGUUUGUGUGUAAUUCAAAGGCACACGGCACAUUGGGGAGGAAGGAGGUCCAGACAAAUGCAGAGAGAGAAUUUUAUGUUGAAUUUUUCUUG